AAAAAGACAAACCCUAAAUUUCCGUGUCUAACUUUGACUGUCCGUCUUAUAUAAAAUUUUUUUAUAAUUCGUAUUUUCAUUAUUGUUAGAUGAUAAAACAUGAUUAAUAUUUUAUGUGUAACUUGUCUUUUUAAUUUUUUUUCAUAAUUUUUUCAAAUAAGACGGACGAUCAAACGUUGGGCACGGAAACCAGGGUUUGUCUUUUU
rfam:Oryza glumipatula chromosome 4, whole genome shotgun sequence.